GUACCUUUGGCGCAGUGGAUAGCGCGUUGGACUUCCAAUCCAAAGGUCGAGGGUUCGACCCCCGGCAGGGGUGCU
rnacentral:tRNA from 1 species